rnacentral:lncRNA from 10 species
GUUGGAGGCAUGCUCUAUUCUUUUCUCCCAGAGGAAAAAGAUGUGAAGAGGCAUUCUGUCUUGGCACUGAGCUGUGCUAACUUGGGGGAGAGGCUGAUGCAGGUUGACCUUGCUAGGUUAUAGAGGCAUGUUCUAUCGUCUUUAUUAAGGACCAAUGACCUUCUAAGAAGAGGAAGACACACCAGGCAUGCACACGCACAGAAAAGAAGACCAUGUGAGGGCACAGCAAGAAGAUGGCCAUCUGCAAACUAAGAGGAGAGGCCUCAUUAGAACCUAACCCUGCACCAUGAUCAUGGACUUCCAGCCUUCAGAGUUAGGAAAAUAAAAUUCUGUUGUUUAUGCCACCAAAUCUGUGGUAUUCGCUUAUGAAAACCAUAGAAAAUUAUACAAUACCCAACAAGCAAAUAGCAGAAUGGAAUUAAACCCAUAAAGGAUGGCUUCAAAGGCAAUGCUUAACCACUAUACUGCCUUUAAAAAUUGUCCUAACAGUUCAACUUCAAUUACAGAAAGUUUAUAAUAAUUAGAUGUUAAUACUUUUAUGCUUAACUUUAUAUUUCUAUUUCAAAUGCUUAUUUCCUUUUCAAUAGUUAAUAUUUUCUGGACAGCAAUUCUGGACUAUUUUCUAAAUUCUCUGUUUUCUAAAUUCUUAUGUCAUGCCCUCUGUCAUAAGAAUGUUUAUACCCUAUGAUCUUCUAAAAAUAAAUCCUUAAAAGAUGAUAUGGUUUGGCUAUGUGUCCUCACCCAAAUCUCAUGUUAAAUUGUAAUCCCCAUUGUUGGAGGAUGGACCCAGUGGAAGGUAAUUGGAUCGGGGGGUGGAUUUUCCCCUUGCUGUUCUCACUAUAGUGAGUGAGUUCUCAGGAGAUCUGGUUGUUUAAAAGUGUGUAGCACUUCCCUGUUUGCCCACUGUCUCUCUGUCUCCUGCUCUGACAUGGUAAGACAUGUUUGCUUCCCCUUCACCUUCCACCCUGAUUGUAAGUUUCUUGAGGCCUCCCAGCCAUGCUUCCUGUACAGCCUAUCGAGCUGUGAGUCAAUUAAACCUCUUUUCUUUAU